AACCCCUGCUGCCCAGAAUGAAGACCAACAGAAAAUCCAGAGCGUUAAGGCUAAAGGAAAAAAGUACCGCAAGAAUAUUCCUGUAGAGAAAGUAGUAGAGAUGGUGCAUGCUGACAAAGAAUAUGAAGAGAACACUUUUGAUAACAGCAUAGUCCCAGACUCCCAACCUGUGAGAAAGGGUAGCUCAUU